UAAGACCUGCGCUUUUGGAGCGGCCGAUGUCUGAUUAGCUAGUUGGUGGGGUAAUGGCCUACCAAAGCUUCGAUCAGUAGCUGGUCUGAGAGGACGGCCAGCCACACUGGGACUGAGACACGGCCCAGACUCCUACGGGAGGCAGCAGUGGGGAAUUUUGGACAAUGGGCGCAAGCCUGAUCCAGCCAUGCCGCGUGAGUGAAGAAGGCCUUCGGGUUGUAAAGCUCUUUCAGCCGGGAAGAAAAGGCUGCGACUAAUAAUCGCAGUUCAUGACGGUACCGGAAGAAGAAGCACCGGCUAACUACGUGCCAGCAGCCGCGGUAAUACGUAGGGUGCGAGCGUUAAUCGGAAUUACUGGGCGUAAAGGGUGCGCAGGCGGUUUUGUAAGUCAGAUGUGAAAUCCCCGGGCUUAACCUGGGAACU
rnacentral:rRNA from 1 species